GAUGAACGCUGGCGGCGUGCCUAAUACAUGCAAGUCGAGCGAAUGGAUUAAGAGCUUGCUCUUAUGAAGUUAGCGGCGGACGGGUGAGUAACACGUGGGUAACCUGCCCAUAAGACUGGGAUAACUCCGGGAAACCGGGGCUAAUACCGGAUAACAUUUUGAACCGCAUGGUUAGAAAUUGAAAGGCGGCUUCGGCUGUCACUUAUGGAUGGACCCGCGUCGCAUUAGCUAGUUGGUGAGGUAACGGCUCACAAAGGCAACGAUGCGUAGCCGACCUGAGAGGGUAAUCGGCCACACUGGGACUGAGACACGGCCCAGACUCCUACGGGAGGCAGCAGUAGGGAAUCUUCCGCAAUGGACGAAAGUCUGACGGAGCAACGCCGCGUGAGUGAUGAAGGCUUUCGGGUCGUAAAACUCUGUUGUUAGGGAAGAACAAGUGCUAGUUGAAUAAGCUGACACCUUGACGGUACCUAACCAGAAAGCCACGGCUAACUACGUGCCAGCCGCCGCAGUAA
rnacentral:rRNA from 1 species